UCAGCUUUCGAAAUAUAGAAGCUCCAUUCUUCCUGAGCAUGUGCAAAUGUUGAUUUGUACUCAAAAUUGGCUAUAUGGAUUUUCUAAAAAUCCUAACUAUGAAAUUGUUGAAGAUAUUUUUGGUCAUGAGGGAAUUGAUGAGUCUAAACUUUUAGAAGAUGUUGAAAGUCUUCAACAUU